AAGGGGGAAAGGGGAUGGUGGGAGGGCAUGUGCAAAAUGCAAAUCUGGCACUUGGCAUGGUCUCAAUUUGAGAGGCCCAGGCAGAUUGGGAUGUAUGGCUUUGUUCCAUCAAAAGGUCGUUUGAAGCACAGUAUUUUAUUUUUAUAGUAGGGUAUUGAGUUCUGAGGUCUCUGAUACACCCCAGGGAACCAGCAAAAGCUAGUCUCAACCCUGUGCCAGCCCCCUGCUGGGUCACUAAUGAAGAUGGAGAACUGUGAGUGCACCCAUAUAAAACACAGGAAAAGGCGAAAAAGGACUCCGAGCUGGGUCCGUUCCUUUUAUUCCAGAGGAGCAACCUUUUCUGUACUUAGAGACUAAUGAGUCAUGAACAGGAGAGGGGAACAAAUCACACAGUACAUUACCAGGAGGGACAACACCGUCAGCCUUUGUGUUCAGUAGCUGGUUCAGUUUUCAGAGCAUUUCCCAGCAAGGACCAAAAGCAACUUGAACAAAGGAAACAGCAGUUAGAUACUUGAACUGUCUCCAUUAAUACUCCAGAGAAUUGGGUGCUUCAAAGUUGGAGUGACUAAUGAGAGUGGGGAGAGGAUAUAGAGUUGUUAUUUUGAAAGUUCUGUCCUUUCUAAGGACAUGAGCUCUGAUCCCUCCACAGACUUUUAAACGGAGAACAGAAAUGAAGCAUAAGAAGAUAUCACGUUUUUAAGUAUUGUACAAUUUUCUGCACAACAUCAGAGUAGGCUAAGAAACCAGCAGUUAUGAUACAACGAGCGCAAAAUUUAGGGGAAAAGAAUACUCCAGUGAUCGAGUAUCAAAACCUCCAUUGCUUGCUGUGACAAUAUUCCUUUUUUGUGCUCCAGGCAAUAUCAUCAAGAUUUAGAGUAAUCUGACAUAAGUCAACAAACCUACUCAAUGACUUUGUUGUGUGAUUAUUGCAUCCAGUUACUACCUUCAGAGUUUGUGAUCAUUAAAUGUACCAGCUGUGUCCUAAACGGAAUUAUCUGAUACAGGCUGAAAUUAUAUAGAAAGACCCUAAAAUCAAAAAGUAAAACUGCUUUCAUAAUCUCUACUCCUCUCACUCUAAGAUCUUAGGUGGUUCCCAUUUUUUUAACCUCACUUUAUUAAAAGAUACCGUUUUCAUGAACGCUAUUUGAAUCUCACCAAAUAAAGUUUGUCUCUUCUAAUUGAAACAUAGGAUAUGUCACAAUAACUGAAAUCACAGGUUAAAAGUUGAAACUCUCUAGUCUGACAGUAAGAGUUGUGAUCCAGCAUAUAUGUACAGCAUAAGAAUUCCAAUAUAUAGGUUUUACCUUAGGAGAGUGUCCUGGGGAAAGAGACUAUUAUUAGACAGUUCAGCAGUGUGCAUAUGUACCCAGAUGUCUAUAUGCAAAUACCUCAGAUGUGUCAGAACACAAUAAAUACCUCAGUUCUUGGCACUAAUAUGUAGGCUCAGACUAAAUUAGGAAAUGAAUUGAAAAGUGAAAACUAAGAAAACAACAUUAGUCAUUGUAAUGAAAAGACUGGCAACAACAUAAAUGUCCAUCAGUAAGGACCUAGUUAAAAAAAAAUUAUAAUACAGCUAUACAAUAGAUACCACAAAACCACAAGAAAGAAAAAAGCAGCAUUUUAUGUACUAACAUGGAAUGAAUUCCAAGACAUAGUGUUAAGUGAAAUUAAGCAAGGUAUAGAACAGCAGGUAUGGUAAGCAAGUAACUGUAUGAAAGAGGAAUGCUUAUUUAUCCAUUCAUUCUCACAUACAUAUACAUACAUACAUACAUACAUAAAUACAUAUAUAUAUAUAUAUCUUUCUCCUAUGCAUAUCAAAUAUUUAUGGAAGGAAAUAAAAGAAACUAGUAACUUGAGCUACCUUCAAGGGGGCUAAUCAGAUGGCUUGCGGAAUUGGGAGAAAACAAAACUUCUUCCUACGUACAGCUCUGUAACCUCUGAAAUUCUGAACCA
rnacentral:lncRNA from 10 species